rnacentral:rRNA from 1 species
GAUGAACGCUGGCGGCGUGCUUAACACAUGCAAGUCGAACGAAGCACUUUAUUUGAUUUCCUUCGGGACUGAUUAUUUUGUGACUGAGUGGCGGACGGGUGAGUAACGCGUGGGUAACCUGCCUUGUACAGGGGGAUAACAGUUGGAAACGGCUGCUAAUACCGCAUAAGCGCACAGCAUCGCAUGAUGCAGUGUGAAAAACUCCGGUGGUAUAAGAUGGACCCGCGUUGGAUUAGCUAGUUGGUGAGGUAACGGCCCACCAAGGCGACGAUCCAUAGCCGGCCUGAGAGGGGGGCCGGCCACAAUGGGAAUGGGACACGGCCCAAACUCCUACGGGAGGGAGCAGUGGGGGAUAUUGCAAAAUGGGCGAAAGGCUGAUGCAGCGACGCCGCGUGAACGAAGAAAUAAUUCGGGAAGGAAAGCUCUAUCAGCAGGGAAGGUAAUGACGGUACCUGACUAAGAAGCACCGGCUAAAUACGUG